UAAACACUAAUAUAUGUGUUCAGCGAUGUCUCCCGAGUAAAACAGUACCCCCCAUGUACAGGUUUUAUAGCAUUUUUUAAAGUUACAAGGUCAAAUACAUGGGUCAAAUAUUUUUACAUUGAAAAUGGCCAGGUUGGUUACGUUGCCUUUGAGAGCGUAUGGUAGCCCAGGAAUGAGAAUUACCCCCAUGAUGGCAUACCAUUUGCAAAAGAAGACAACCCAAGGUAUUGCAAAUGGGGUAUGUCCAGUCUUU